ensembl:lncRNA
CUGGGUGUUCUAGAGUAGGGGGACAAGGUGGUUAGGAACCUGGUACAGUAGGGGGACUAUGUGGAUAGGAAACUGGUACAGUAGGAGGACUAGGUGGUUAGGAAACUGGUACAGUAGGGGGACUAGGUGGUUAGGAAACUGGUACAGUAGGGGGACUAUGUGGUUAGGAAACUGGUACAGUAGUUGUAGGAGGACUAGGUGGUUAAGAAACUGGUACAGUAGGGAGACUAGGUGGUUAGGAAACUGGUACAGUAGGGGGACUAGGUGGUUAGGAAACUGGUACAGUAGGGGGACUAGGUGGUUAGGAAACUGGUACAGUAGGGGGACUAGGUGGUUAGGAAACUGGUACAGUAGGGGGACUAGGUGGUUAGGAAACUGGAACAGUAGGAGGACUAGGUGGUUAGGAAACUGGUAUAGUAGGGAGACUAUGUGGAUAGGAAACUGGUACAGUAGU